UACGUAGGGUGCAAGCGUUGUCCGGAAUUAUUGGGCGUAAAGAGCUCGUAGGCGGUCUGUCGCGUCGGCUGUGAAAACCCGGAGCUCAACUCCGGGCCUGCAGUCGAUACGGGCAGACUGGAGUUCGGCAGGGGAGACUGGAAUUCCUGGUGUAGCGGUGAAAUGCGCAGAUAUCAGGAGGAACACCGGUGGCGAAGGCGGGUCUCUGGGCCGAUACUGACGCUGAGGAGCGAAAGCGUGGGGAGCGAACAGG
rnacentral:rRNA from 1 species